CACGGGGGGAGCAAGCGUUGUUCGGAAUCACUGGGCGUAAAGGGCGUGUAGGCGGUCAAGUAAGUGGAAUGUGAAAGCCCCCGGCUUACCCGGGGAUCUGCAUCCCAAACUGCUUGGCUUGAGUACGGGAGAGGAUAGGGGAAUUCCUGGUGUAGCGGUGAAAUGCGUAGAUAUCAGGAGGAACACCGGUGGCGAAGGCGCUCUGCUAGGCCGUAACUGACACUGAGGGACGAAAGCUAGGGGAGCGAAUGGG
rnacentral:rRNA from 1 species